rnacentral:rRNA from 1 species
UACGUAGGUGGCGAGCGUUGUCCGGAUUUACUGGGCGUAAAGAGCGCGCAGGCGGCCUCGCGCGCCCGACGUGAAAGCCCCCGGCUUAACCGGGGAGGGUCGUUGGGGACGGCGGGGCUUGAGGGCGGGAGAGGGCGGUGGAAUUCCCGGUGUAGUGGUGAAAUGCGUAGAGAUCGGGAGGAACACCUGUGGCGAAGGCAGCCUUCUGGGCCAACACUGACGCUCAUGCACGAAAGCGUGGGGAGCAAACAGG